UUAUCAAACUUGGUCCACGAUAUUUACAUGCGUAAAGCUGAGAAGAAACGAAAUAUUAAACCCAAUAAAACACAUUUCUCAGGGUAUCGAAGAAUUACUUCUGAGAAACAAACAAACUGAAGUUUCUGGUUCUUCUCCGGUUGUUUAGUAGUGGUUUCGGCGGUGGCGUGUCUUCAAUGUCGCCGUCAGAGCAGUCUGUCUGGUGUUAGUCAUUUGUUGUUGUCUCUUUUGUUUACUCAAUAUUUCUCUUCCUUUUGUGUGCCUUUCGGUGGUUUUUGAUGGGUCUGUUGUGCUAUUGUUUACUGUUGUUAAGGCUUUUGUUGAUAGAUCUGUGAUUUCUUCUCGGAUUUAUUUCCAAGUCCUCUGUAGAUCUGGGUGUUUUGGUGUUGCAGGUUUGUUUAGUUUUUAGAUCUGCUUGUCUAGGCUCAGAUCCGGCUGGAGAGAAUGUCCACGACGAUAGUGAAUUGUGUGGUUCUGUCUGCUCAUGCUUUGGUGUCUCAGCGAGAAGAACUCUUAAGCUCUGUUUUCGUUGUCCUCCGUCAUUAGUGUGUGUACCUUCGGCCGAGGGUUUAAAUCCAGUUAAUCUCUCAUGGAUUUUUUGAGCUUGUCUUAGUUGGUGCUUGAUUCAGCAACGGUGUAGCAUUUCGCGGUGAUGUGUGGUGAGCAGGUGCGGGUUCUGGUCCUUGAGAAGUAGGUGGUUUCAGACCACCUAUUCGUCUCUUAGGUUUGUGGAGGCCUUAUCCCGCCUUGUCAUUUAGUGUUUAUCAUGGUCUUCCUUUGGUCUCUGUUUUCCUCGUGGCUUCAUCUGGUUGAGGCAAUAUAAAGAGGUUGAGGCAUGGAGGCUUACGGUUUAAGGUGGUUCAGAUGAGGUUUAUGCUCUUCAUGAAGAAGUCAUCCGCGCUGCUUGCUCUCUUGUGUCGUUCGUUGCAAGAAAACCGGCUAGUCUUACCGCAUUAAGUCAUUGUUCUUUUAUCUUUAACUGGUUGUUUCUGGGUUUCUUUAAAGGAGAGUAGGUGUUCAGUUUAGUUUCGGAUGUUGGUUAGUACCCCGUGUGUUUGGGUUCUAGAUUCCUGAUUUUGGGCUUAGCUUCCGGGGAUAUCUUUGUAUUCCGCCGGCUUUAGUAUCUCAACCUUGUAUUCUCAUGUUAUCGAUGAGAUUCAGAUAGCAAAAAAAAAAAAAA